rnacentral:lncRNA from 1 species
GAAAAAAUGGCAGAACGAAAAAUAUGAGCCGUAGAGGUUUGGCUAACGCGCGAGUCUCAAGAGAGAUUUUGUAAAACUUUAAUUUAUUAACUUCAGCUAUAUUUUACUUUAAACAAUAACUUCAACUCUUUGUAACUAACUGUUAAGGAAUACCAAAGAAUUCUAAGUGAUCCGACCAACCCAUGUAAUAAACUUAUCCCCCAACCUUUUACCCAUGAACACGAUCUAAGAACAACAAAUAAUCUACCAUAUGUUGUAUCGUAUACUAAAAGACACUGGCAAUCCUUUAUACCUAGAGCUAUAUCCCUUUUAAAACAG